AAGAUGUACAUCAUCUAAUUUCACUUUUUAAAGUUGUAAACAAUUACUUUAAACAAAAGUCUUGAAAAAAGUUUGAACAUAUAUAUAAAUUUAAAAUUUUUUACUAUAGUGUAUUGAUUUUUAAGCACAACUGCUGAUUGAAGCUGAAUGGAACAAAAUCAGAAAGAUUGCCCUAAACUUAGUUUUGUUAAAGUUGAAGUAAAAGAGAUAAUUUACUAUGAGUGGUAUAAAAACAAGAAAAACGACAAGUACAGCGACGUCUGGUUUAAUAGGU